UGCUUAUAAAAACUUAAAAAGCCCUUGGACAUCAAAUGGCUCUUACAAAUUAAUCAGAAACAUACGGAUUAAAUUUCUCAUAAAAUACAUGUAGGUUUAAAAUUAUGGGAAAAAGCUUAGGGCAAAAUGUCUUUCAGGUUUAUCCAAAAACAACUUGGCAAAACUUGGAAACACUUUACCAAUAGCAGGAUGGCACCGAGUACACAUGUGGCAUGUUCAGGCUUCCUCGGUCAUCUUGGCCCCCAGGGCUCUCCCACACAUGGACAAAAGUGUCUGUUAUGAGUAGGAUAGAAGUCCUUGCCAAGAUGACUUGAGUAUUUACUUGGGCUGCAGAACUGUCACCAGGAAGAGUACUUGGCACCGGUGGGUGAUAUCCGGUGAAUACGAGCUCGUCAGGAUUGCAUCAUUUCUGGGUGCAGGAAGCCUCUGUGGAGUACAAAGGACAUAGGUCAUAUGGCAGAAGGCAAGGAGCUGAACUGUCCUAGGGAUUCUACUCUGAUUAUACCACAGAAAAGCAUGGCAAGAUUCUGAUUUUCAGCAAGAAGGAGUCCCCCUCUCCUCCACAUCUAAAAACACAGCCAUGUAUUGAGAGGUAUCUGGAUUUUUCUCAAAGACUUUUAACCUCCCCUAGCUUUUUGCUUCCUAAUCAAUGUAUUUUCACUGGCUUGUCAACUUUAGUCCUAAUAGUAAAUGCCACUGAACUAAUUGUCUAGGAACAGAAUAAAGUUGAAGAUGGGCUUGUAAUCUACCCUUCCUCGGACCACUCCUAUGUUUGCCUAUCUCCCUUAGGCUGGCUCUUUGAAUAGCAUAACUUUGGUGAUGAAUUCCAGAUGUUGCAUUGUGGAGUUAUCUACAGGGGGUUAUCCAUUAUAGUUCUGAGCAAAUGUAUUUGUCCCC
rnacentral:lncRNA from 1 species